rnacentral:tRNA from 1 species
CGGAGCCAUGGCAGAGUGGUAAUGCAACGGACUCUAAAUCCGUCGAACCGUGUAAAGCGGCGCAGGGGUUCAAAUCCCCUUGACUCCU